UCAGACAAUAAAAAAGGAAGAAGAUGAAGAUGAAGGUUACCUUUGUACAGCAGAUACUCUGGAACACAUCACUCUUGAGGGACAUCAGCAGAACGAUGGUUUUCAGGAAAUGCCUGUGAAAGAGGAAGAUGACCAUGAAAUGAACAACGCUUUCUCCUGCCCGGUGUGUUUCCUUUCCUGUACCACCCAAAACAACCUUCUCAAGCACAUCAGGAGAUGCC